rnacentral:rRNA from 1 species
UGGGGAAUAUUGCACAAUGGGCGCAAGCCUGAUGCAGCCAUGCCGCGUGUGUGAAGAAGGCCUUCGGGUUGUAAAGCACUUUCAGCGAGGAGGAAGGGUUCAGUGUUAAUAGCACUGUUCAUUGACGUUACUCGCAGAAGAAGCACCGGCUAACUCCGUGCCAGCAGCCGCGGUAAUACGGAGGGUGCAAGCGUUAAUCGGAAUUACUGGGCGUAAAGCGCACGCAGGCGGUUUGUUAAGUCAGAUGUGAAAUCCCCGCGCUUAACGUGGGAACUGCAUUUGAAACUGGCAAGCUAGAGUCUUGUAGAGGGGGGUAGAAUUCCAGGUGUAGCGGUGAAAUGCGUAGAGAUCUGGAGGAAUACCGGUGGCGAAGGCGGCCCCCCUGG